CGCACGAGCGCACCCUUGCCCUAUGUUGCCAGCGGGUUAUGCCGGGGACUCAUGGGGAACUGCCGGUGAUAAACCGGAGGAAGGUGGGGACGACGUCAAGUCAUCAUGGCCCUUACGCCCAGGGCUACACACGAGCUACAAUGGCCGGUACAAAGGGCUGCAAUCCCGCGAGGGGGAGCGAAUCCCAAAAAGCCGGUCUAAGUUCGGAUUGUAGUCUGCAACUCGACUGCAUGAAGUCGGAAUCGCUAGUAAUCGUGUAUCAGCAACGACACGGUGAAUACGUUCCCGGGCCUUGUACGCACCGCCCGUCAAGCCAUGGAAGCCGGGAGUGCCCGAAGUCCGUGAUCCAACUUCGUGAGGAAGCGGCCGAAGGUAAGUUCGGUGACUGGGGUUAAGUCGUAACAAGGUAGCCGUAGGGGAACCUGCGGCUGGAUCACCUCCUUU
rnacentral:rRNA from 1 species